CCUUUAGCUCAGCUGGUUAGAGCACCUGACUCAUAAUCAGGUGGUCGCUGGUUCAAGCCCAGCAAGGC
rnacentral:tRNA from 1 species